CCCUGAAGUACCUGGUGCUGGCACAGACCUCUGCAGCGUUAGUUCCAAAGCCUCCGCUGUAUCUCUGCUACCUGAUGCCAACGUUGCACUUUGCACAAGGUCAGUUUUAUAUGUAGGCUUUUUUAUACAUAGGCUUCUGCUGAAGGUAGAACAAUGACUGCUUUCAGACGUCCUCCAUGUUAGCAGCAACAGGCAGAGAAGAAAUAUUAACCACGACUGGCAAACUUACGAGGCUUAAUUUCCCAGCAUAUUUAUUUAUUCAAGCGACUAUCAUAAAAUGCCUAUCACCUUGACAACAAGGCAUUUAUUUACAAGUCUGGAAGAACAGUAUGGCAUAAAGAUACCUAUACAAAAUGCAACAUUAUGGGAAAUAGUUGCCACUGCUGUUUGGCAGGUAAACCAGGGUGGGGGCUACACGCAGCCAACACGCCGCCCCACCUGGCUGCACUGCAAGAAGUACGAAGCUGAGCGAUGACCUGAGGUGGUGAGGACACAGCAGAAGGGGCGAGGAGAGAUGAGCAGUCAGCCCGACAGCUUUGUGGCACCACUAUACCUUACAGGGACACAUCGCACGUUAGUGGUUUGUUUUAAAGUUAAAGGGUGCUUCUUGACCAAUUGUGAAAGAAAGCAUCUCGAGUCAGAUGUAGUCACUCUCUUCUCCUUAGUUCCCCUGCCUGCGAAACGAUAAUAGCUACAGCGAUCUUGUUCUUUGAGAGCUACUGAUUAAAAUGAUUACAUAAGCAUUAGAUACUGCUUUUUAGAGAUUUUUCCAUACAGUUAUCAGUCCCAUCAUGUGCAUGAAUCAAUACAUGAUUCCUAAACUGUAGCAAAAUAAUCUAAAAUUAUUUGUAGAUAAGAAACAUCGGUGCACAAAGUGACUAUUGUUUGGCGGUUCCUCCUGUCACCUUUACUCCUGCUCAGCUGAUUGUAACAUUGCAAUAACAAACAGAAAAAUCAGAUUUUAGGGAGACAUCGCCCUUUCAGUUAAUGUUUUAAACUCGGUGCAGUUGUCCAGGCGGUGACUGA
rnacentral:lncRNA from 1 species